GACGUAGGGCGCGAGCGUUGUCCGGAUUUAUUGGGCGUAAAGAGCUCGUAGGCGGCUUGUCGCGUCGUCCGUGAAAACCCACAGCUCAACUGUGGGCUUGCGGUCGAUACGGGCAGGCUAGAGUUCGGUAGGGGAGACUGGAAUUCCUGGUGUAGCGGUGAAAUGCGCAGAUAUCAGGAGGAACACCGGUGGCGAAGGCGGGUCUCUGGGCCUUACCUGACGCUGAGGAGCGAAAGCGUGGGUAGCGAACAGG
rnacentral:rRNA from 1 species